CACCACAGCUCAUGGCAACGCCAGAUCCUUGACCCACUGAGCAAGGCCAGGGAUCGAACCCAGAACCUGAUGGUUCCUAAUCGGAUUCGGUAACCACUGGCCAUGGGAACUCCAAUAGAUUUCUUGAGUAUCCUUUUAAACUGUGAGAUGGCUUAUCAGGUACUAUUUAAAAGGUUGAAAAUGGCAGAUUUUAAGUGUGAAUAUCUUAAUCGACAAAUAUUGAGUCCUGUUUUAUCUGAAUACCUAUCAUUAUCCCUAAGACACUUACUACCAUGCUGGGAGUUAAUAUCACAUACAUAUGAAAAGUUACCUAGUGAAGGUAUAUGCUAAAGACAAAAUGCCUUAAGAAUGGAAAUAAGCACUAGCUACCUGGAAACCAAAGUAAGAUAGUACGGGGAGCUAGCUUUGCUCUCCUGCUUGAGGAAGAGCAACUGAGCUGAAAACUUGGCAAGUGGUAAAGUAUAGGCUUUAGGGUAGGAGUUUCCAUUAAAAGCAGGAGGUGCCAGAUUGCAGUUGGCCUCAAAUGUCAGGCUAAAGUGUUCAUAGAGGAGGGCCUUGGGAAUUUUUUCUUUAAUACAAAGAAAUGAAUCAAUAAAAUAGUACCAUGGAUUCCUUUCAGUGCGCAAUAUUUAUAUCUUAGUGUAAAUACAGCAUUUGUCAAAUGAAAGACACUGCUCCCAUCUAAUGUCCACCGUGCUGCCUUUUUAAACCACUAACAUAUUAGUUGCAGAUACAAUACUAACAUUUAGCUUAAACCGCUGCACCAGGUUAAAUGAUAACUGGUGGUGUCAGGUUUCUACUCCUUUGACCCUAAAUGAAACUUUAGAGGUAAAACAUUUUCAGCCAGGGUGCAGGCCCUGGUGCCAUGUAAUCUAAUCUUCAUUUUAUAUUUAAACAGAAACUUUAUCUUAAAAAAAAAUCGUCUGUUAGUUAUGGGAGUAUGGGAGUGAGCUAAAAAGGCAUUUUGUUUUGAUCAACAUUCGACAUGCAUGGUUUUAGGAUUGCCAAACUGUUCCUGUCAUGUUUCGCUGGACUGGGUUGAUUUGUUGUUUUCUGUUUUUUUCUUUUAGGUUCUGGUUCCUUCCUGAUGAAUCUAUGAUUAAGUCUUCCAACCAAUGGUGAUAGUUGAGACCCUGCUGGUGUCCUGUGGAGAAACGAAUGCUGUGCUGGGUAGAAAAAGUUUCUCUGAGUCUAGCCUAGUGAGCUGUGCGGCACUGAGUGAAGCGCCAGGUCUCUGAGAUUUGAACGGAGUGCUCCUGAAAGUCUUUCGAAGUUCUAGAAUCUGUGACUCUGAAUCAGAGGUUUUCAUCCAUAUCAGCAAAUACUCUGUUGUAGUUUAAUUUCUGUGCUAGGAUAACCCUGUCUACAAAUAGUGAUCAUGUCAUGGCAAUAAGAAAUGUAUUUUAAAAUCUUCGGUGUCCAGUUUGCACCCUCAUUGAAAUAAAAAAAUUCCAUGUAUGGAUUUUUGUUUCCCUUAGACAACACAAGACAUUUGACAGAAGAUCUUAUUUUUAUCAUUUCCAAAGUGUUAAAACCAAACCUUCCUUUAAAAAAAAAAAAACAUAUUACAGCUUAAUAAAAGUGGAACAGUAAAAAAACUGCCUCUAGAUCUCCUAGAGGAAGAACUUCUACCAGGAGAACAUAAAAAUUCCUAGAGGGUGGGAUCCAGGCCUUUUCCUCUUUCUGCUCUUUAUAUGCUUUACGAGUCAUCUACUUUCAAUGAUGACUUGUUUGAAUGAAUGAAUGAAUGAAUGAGUGAAGAAGGAAACACGGACAGAUUUGAGUUCUAGAGAAGGCAAGCAGCUGUGUAGGCUGCUCACAGCCCGAAUACUUACCAGAGUAAACAGUAGCGUCUGAAGGUCCUUGUCUUCAGUGGCUAGGAAAACAGGAGGGGAGGGAGGGGCCUCUGCUGAUGAACAGCUUUUGCAAGGAUUCCUGGAGCAUGAGGUAGGUCUCACUCUGCAAGAAACAUGCUAUUUGGGGUGGCCUAGAACACCCAAUAGUCCUCUGCUUCUGUGACAGGCCAGAAAAUGAGUACUUCUUGAUUAAUAUUGAAGGGACUUGUACAGCAAUGAAAUUUCAUCAGGAUCACUUUAACCUUAAUAUUUAUUUAGGUAUAAGAUUAGAAACAAUUAUUUGCAGCGUUGAUGCUCCACACCACCUAGGGCCCAGUUCCUGCCCGUAGCUCUUAACCACACUGCCAGCCCUUUCCCCAGAGCCCUUAAGAAUCCCCUGACCCAGCAACCAAAGGCCUGACACCCGGCUCCCGGCUCCCACCUGGCCAGCAGGCUCUCCGGCUCCUUUGUGCACCCGCCAUACAAGUCAUUAAAAACAUUUUCAUAUUACCUCUAUUUGUAUUUACCUAUUUAGACAGUUGUUUGUUUCAUGUCAUCAUGUCCGUUAAACUUGAGUUUACUGGUUUUUACUAACUGCAACUAAAAUGGGUAAUUUUUUGUCUAAAAUGUAAGUUGUUUGAGCAUAUAUCCAACUUGAGAAGAUUUAUGAAAAUCAUGUUUACUGGGUUACCAUGAAAUAUCAAAGUCUUCAGUUUUCCUUUCUAUUUUUCACCAAAUAAUGUUUUAGUAAACAGGUGUUGCCAGAGGUUAAAAAAAAAAAAGAUUCAUCAUCCUCUUUAUGGUGAACCCUUGUUUCCCACCCAAGAACCUCCACUUGGCUCUCUCCCCAGUCCUGCAUAGCCACUCACACUCCCUCGCUGACCUGUCCAAGUCACGCUGAUGAGGCCAGCGUUUACUGUUGCCUAAGUAUUCUGUCCCAGCCUGCCUGUAAAAAUGCGUCCCUGUAACCUUUUACAGAUCUCCAAGGUCACCAACUUGAUGAACUGGCAUUAAUUACAGGGAUGUUCUCUCCACCCCCAUUGGUGGGAAGAAUCACUUUAAGGUGGAAAUAAAAUGUAACAUAGUGAAAUGAGUAACACUUUUGGUUCAACAGUUCUAAAUCCGGUGCCCCGUAUUUACACCGGGAGCCUGGAAUUAAGUAGUGGUGGCAAGUGGCACGCUGACCGGACACUGUGGCAGGCAGUGGGACGGGGCUUGCCUCGUGCCAGUGUCAUCUCUCUGUGCGGGUAAAGCCACGGAAAGAGCAGAAAGAAUGGAAGGAUGGAAUCAAGAUCACGAAGCUGCUAGACUGUGAGAUGAGGAAAGAGAGAAAAGAUUGGGUUCACAGAACUCUUGGGCAGUCUUGUGAGCAAUCCCACCAGCUGCCGUGUCAGCAAUAAUCCCGCUCCCUCCCCUCCAGGACCGGCUUCCUCUCUGGCCCAGCGGCUGAUGGGCCGAGACAGCAGGCGUUCUCUGUGCCAGGUUCCUGGACCCCUAGGGACCGGUAGCCGACUUGACUUGCUCCUCUCCCUCAGCUGACCAGGUUUCAGCAUUUCAGCUGGUCCGGUGCCUGACUGCACAAAGGCACACUUUCACUUCAUCAGCCAGGCCCUGUCACUUGUCUGGAACAUGGAGCAGACACCAAGCAGGACGGGAGGGGCUGGCCAUCUUGCUGGCAGGGCCAUUAGCCAUGAGCCUGGUGGGGGAAGGAGGUCGUUCACCUCUAGGCUCAGACCACGGAUGUCUGAGAACUACUUCCUUGUGAACUGUGAAAAUAUGAAAUUAUGAUACGUGGCCCUACAUAACCACCUGCCAAACCAUAGACAUGCUUUUCUCACAGACGAUGUCGAUGACGUAUCUUUAAACCCCACGCGAUGAAACAGGUCCUAAAACAUUCAUUCACCCUGAAGAGUUUGCUGGUCCCUGGAGGAGGCAGCUGAGCACAGGGGUCUAGACCGGCUGCCACGGAAGUCCUGGGAUCCUUUAAAUUACCUCUGACUCUCACUGUGCACCUGUAAAAUGGGACCAUGCAACCUAAGGCUGCUGUCAGGAUGAUGUGAGUAAAUGCAUGUGAAGUGCUCAGCAAAAUCCCUGGACCACCGGAAGCGCUCAGGAAACAGCAUGAUUUUAAAAACUGAAAAGAGUAAGGCUUGGUUCUAGUGCUUAUUUAUCAGUGCACACGUGUCUUGGAAUGUGUGUAAAUAUCUCUAUUUACGUUGAAAUUGCAUCUACAGAGCUCAAACUAGUUAGUCAUCAGUUUCCUGCCACUUCCUAUUGCACAAAAGCCUUUCCUGUUCUCAGGACUGCUGACACUAGGAAGUAAAAGGACAAAUAACUCGAUGAAAAGGAGCCUUGAUCCCAGGCUGGCUGUGUGUCAGCAGCAACAAUGGCUGAUCCGAAGCUGGCGCGGGGCCUUCGUGCUCUCCAAGACCCAGUUUUCAGCUGCUAGAUGAUAGAAACAGUUCUGGGGCUGCGGGGUAAAGGUGGAAAAGGCGAGACUGCCUGCCUCUCGUCCCUGUCCUGUAAACCCCUGAGCUGGCAGCGAGUGGAGGGACCUGGGAAGAUGCCACCUGGUGGAGGGGCCGUGACUCAGGUGGACAGGCUCUGCCUUCCAGACCUGCGGGAGCUCCCACGACCCCAUCCACUCCAUCCAGACCUUCUAACACUAACCGUUGUGAGUGGACCCAGGGUUUAAAAUGUGAGGUCUGAGCAACGGAUGGGCUUUCUCCCAUCCCUGGCCCCGGGGCUCCGGCCUGCAAGCAUAGCCGAGUGAAGGAGCAGGGGCAUCCGCCCCCUGCCUGCUGAGCCAAACCAGGCUUUCUUAUGUCUCAGCAGACACUGGUAAGAAAAGCAGUGAACACCGCCACCCUGUUUUUAACAUCAGAUACCAUGGGAAAAAAUAGCUCGUGUUUUGGGGAACUUGAAAUCGCCAAGUGGGGUGGGAGGAGCCGACUGCCUUCACACUCACAAGUGGCUGCUGCAUGUCAGUUCCACUAGGUCGUGCAUGAAGCAACUGGAAGACAGUGACAGCUCUGGGUUCCCAGGGCCCUCCCUGAAGUGGCCUUGGUGUCUCCGAGGGAGCCAGCAGCCUCAGCUUCAGCAAGACUAGAUCUGAGACCAGGGUCAGAUCCAGUCCCAGCCCCAGGCCCUGCAUCGAGGCUCGGAAAAAUUUACCGGUGGAGCCAACACUUUCUCUUAGAGGUUUUCAAGGUAUCCAGAUGGUUUUCAGCAUGAAGGCCAGGACACACAAUUUAAUCAAGGUAGCUGAAAGGAGAAAAGAAUCUUCAAAUAAACAGUUUCAUAAUUAUGAGUCUGGCUUCACAGUGAAUCACAUACCCGUUAUAAUACUAAUGCUGAACAAAAUUUACAUUUGCAUCAUAUGUUUUCUGGUUACCAAGAGGGCCAGAGUUAUCAAUAGAUUCCUAAGGGGUGUGAUUCAGUCUGAACUAUAAGUGGAUCCCUGACGUUCUAAGGGCUUGAUAAGAAUUUUCCUCCAGUUAUCUGUUUCUAUAAAACUGGCUUAUUGUAACUUGUGGACAACAAUUAUGCACUAAGCAAAGGUAAUGCUUCAGACCAUUUGCAAAAAACUUGUCGCAUAUUUUCGGCCAGAUCUGCCCAAGGCAAAAUCUUGGCCAUAUCAUUGAACUGGGUGCAAAGGGCCCAAAUCUGAGCUCAGGGCUGGGCCUUCCCUCUGGCCUUCCCCUCCCCCACCCAGUUUCAAGUUCAGUAGCUUGCCUCUUUGCCUCUGCCUUCUCCCAGCCCAACAGCCUCUCCUGUCCCGGAGGUGCCAUGAGUGUGGGCUACUUGAAGCUUGCUGCUGUGACUGAUGGAGCUUUUUAUUUAUUUUUAUAACGUACUGUGCACUACUAGCAGCACAAUGUGUAUGUCCCAUAACUUUGUUCUUAAUGUCUGUCAUUGCACUUUCUGGAUGGGAGAUUUUGCAGGCUUGCCAGCAAAUAUAGCUUUAAAAAAAAAUUCGUAAGAUUUUUCCUUGUCAUUUAUCUUUCAUUUGAUACUGUGUUCAGUGGCCUCAACUUUGCUUGUACAGCAUUCAUUAACGAUAUCAUUCUAGGAGUUCCCUUGGGGGUUAAGGAUCCAGUGUUGUCACUGCAGCAGCUCGGGUCGCUGCUAUGGCCCGGGUUUGAUCCCUAGCCUAGGAACUCUCACAUGUCCCGGGCACAGCCAAAACAAAACCAAAACAGAACAAAAACCAAUGUCAUUCUAUAAAAGCAGCAAAGGGAAGUGCACGAGGAAAAAAAAAAAAAAAAAGAGUACAAGGAAACAAUUUCCAGAAGGCAAACUUGCUAGGAAGUGAGCUUAAUAGCAGUUUUAUUGUUCAAGUUCUAAACACAGAAAUGCCCCUCCUUGCCGCUAGCCCGGCCUCCGGCUCAUCUACCUCUCAACCCCAGAGCGCUCACGUGGCUCUGGUCUUCCCAUAUACCCUCAGGUUCAGGUUGGUUGGAGGUGGCUCAGGAGAGCUUUAAGAUUCUGGGCUGUUAUUAAAAUUGUUGGCAAGAUUUACAUUGCUGAGGAAAAGGUGCUGGUUUCUGUGUGAUGUUAACCAUAGGAAACUAUUUCAGAGAAGGAAAAAUAAGUAAAUAAAAGGGCCCUUGGACCUGUCAUUUGUUACUGGAAUCUGAUUAAAUUAGAUGACCUCACAAGACUCACAAAUGCUGUCCGUCAUGGGUCCCGGCCCCCACAGUGGUCCUGGGACUUGGUAGGAAAGAGCUUUCUGGGGCCUCAUAACUUCCACUGAUUAUUUCCUUUGUGUUCCCCACGACUUAGACCUUUACAAGCGUGACCCCACUUAGUCUCCCCAACACCCCUGGGUUGUUCACCAGGUUUGUAUCAAAUCCUGGCUCCAACAGUUUCUAGUUCUGCAGCCUUGGGCCGUUAAGUCCCCACUCCGUGCCUCUGCUUCUUCAUCUUCCAAAGAGGCUCCUUGUCCCAACUCUCAGUUGAGGAGUGGGCCUGUGUGAGUUCAGAUACGCAGAGGCCUGGCAACAGAGUCACAGCUCAGUAAUUGCUAUUGUUAGGCCCCAACAGGUGCCUCUGGUUUGCAGUCCACUUGCAGGAUCCUGGCAUCUGAUGAAGCAAAGAUCAACAGCAGUUUGUCAAGGUAUUUCUCUUCUUCCUGAGCACGCAGCUAAUCGACACUUCCCACCUCUCUUGAAGUUAGUCACGGCCACGUGACUGAGUUCCCGUGACAAAAUAUGAGCUGAGGCAAUGCCCUCCACUGUCACCUGUCCCAGAGGGGCCUCCUGGAUGAAGGCUUGUUGAAAAUGAGCAUCCUGAAAACACGGCCGGAGAAGGGGCCACCUUGCAGAUCUCUUCAGCUGCACCGUUCUGUUACCUCAAUAAGAAAUGCUGUGGUUGUCUUUAAUUAAUAUGCAUUUGGCGAGCUAACUUUUGCCAGCACAGCUCGUAUACAUUGAGCUCAAUAAAGGAUUGAUUCGUGGUAAA